UGGGGAAUUUUGGACGAAUUGGGGGCAACCGUGAUCCAGCAAUGCCGCGUGUGUGAAGAAGGCCUUCGGGUUGUAAAGCACUUUUGUCCGGAAAGAAAACGCCGUGGUUAAUACCCGUGGCGGAUGACGGUACCGGAAGAAUAAGCACCGGCUAACUACGUGCCAGCAGCCGCGGUAAUACGUAGGGUGCAAGCGUUAAUCGGAAUUACUGGGCGUAAAGCGUGCGCAGGCGGUCCGCUAAGACAGAUGUGAAAUCCCCGGGCUUAACCUGGGAACUGCAUUUGUGACUGGCGGGCUAGAGUAUGGCAGAGGGGGGUAGAAUUCCACGUGUAGCAGUGAAAUGCGUAGAGAUGUGGAGGAAUACCGAUGGCGAAGGCAGCCCCCUGGGCCAAUACUGACGCUCAUGCACGAAAGCGU
rnacentral:rRNA from 1 species